AGCGAACGCUGGCGGCAGGCCUAACACAUGCAAGUCGAACGGAUCCUUCGGGAUUAGUGGCGGACGGGUGAGUAACACGUGGGAACGUGCCCUUUGGUUCGGAACAACUCAGGGAAACUUGAGCUAAUACCGGAUGUGCCCUUCGGGGGAAAGAUUUAUCGCCAUUGGAGCGGCCCGCGUCUGAUUAGCUAGUUGGUGAGGUAAAGGCUCACCAAGGCGACGAUCAGUAGCUGGUCUGAGAGGAUGAUCAGCCACACUGGGACUGAGGACACGGCCCAGACUCCUACGGGAGGCAGCAGUGGGGAAUCUUGCGCAAUGGGCGAAAGCCUGACGCAGCCAUGCCGCGUGAAUGAUGAAGGUCUUAGGAUUGUAAAAUUCUUUCACCGGGGACGAUAAUGACGGUACCCGGAGAAAAAGCCCCGGCUAACUUCGUGCCAGCCGCCGCCGUAA
rnacentral:rRNA from 1 species